AGAGCGAACGCUGGCGGCAGGCCUAAUACAUGCAAGUCGAACGGAUCCUUCGGGAUUAGUGGCGGACGGGUGAGUAACACGUGGGAACGUACCCUUUGGUUCGGAACAACUCAGGGAAACUUGAGCUAAUACCGAAUGUGCCCUUCGGGGAAAAGAUUUAUCGCCAUUGGAGCGGCCCGCGUCUGAUUAGCUAGUUGGUAGGGUAAAGGCCUACCAAGGCUACGAUCAGUAGCUGGUCUGAGAGGAUGAUCAGCCACACUGGGACUGAGACACGGCCCAGACUCCUACGGGAGGCAGCAGUAGGGAAUCUUGCGCAAUGGGCGAAAGCCUGACGCAGCCAUGCCGCGUGAAUGAUGAAGGUCUUAGGAUUGUAAAAAUUCUUUCAGCGGGGACGAUAAUGACGGUACCCGCAGAAGAAGCCCCGGCUAACUUCGUGCCAGCAGCCGC
rnacentral:rRNA from 1 species